CACCCCCGUCACUGGGUAAAGAGGCGCCUGAUUGGUGGUGCCAGUCUUAUAUCAGGCGGGGGCAGAGCAGCCCAGUCCCUGUUCAUCCCAGCCCAACGCCCCGGGUAGUGGCCGCGGCUGGUUCAUGGCUCGGACACAUCG